GGGCCGCACAAGCGGCGGAGCAUGCGGAUUAAUUCGAUGCAACGCGAAGAACCUUACCUGGGUUUGACAUAUACCGGAAACACCUAGAGAUAGGUGCCCCGCAAGGUCGGUAUACAGGUGGUGCAUGGCUGUCGUCAGCUCGUGUCGUGAGAUGUUGGGUUAAGUCCCGCAACGAGCGCAACCCUCGUUCUAUGUUGCCAGCGGUUCGGCCGGGGACUCAUAGAAGACUGCCGGGGUCAACUCGGAGGAAGGUGGGGAUGACGUCAAGUCAUCAUGCCCCUUAUGUCCAGGGCUUCACGCAUGCUACAAUGGCUGGUACAAAGGGCUGCAAUACCGCAAGGUGGAGCGAAUCCCAUAAAGCCAGCCCGGUUCGGAUUGGGGUCUGCAACUCGACCCCAUGAAGUCGGAGUCGCUAGUAAUCGCAGAUCAGCAACGCUGCGGUGAAUACGUUCCCGGGCCUUGUACACACCGCCCGUCAAGUCAUGAAAGUCGGUAACACCCGAAGCCGGUGGCCUAACCCUUGUGGAGGGAGCCGUCGAAGGUGGGACCGGUAAUUAGGACUAAGUCGUAACAAGGUAGCCGUACCGGAAGGUGCGGCU
rnacentral:rRNA from 1 species